rnacentral:rRNA from 1 species
AUUGAACGCUGGCGGCAGGCCUAACACAUGCAAGUCGAGCGAGCGGCGGACGGGUGAGUAAUGUCUGGGUAACUGCCCGAUGGAGGGGGAUAACUACUGGAAACGGUAGCUAAUACCGCAUACCAUCAGAUGUGCGCAGAUGGGAUGAGCUAGUAGGUGGGGGAACGGCUCACCUAGGAGACGAGCCCUAGCUGGUGUGAGAGGAUGACCAGCCACACUGGAACUUAGACACGGUCCAGACUCCUACGGGAGGCAGCAGUGGGGAAUAUUGCACAAUGGGCGCAAGCCUGAUGCAGCCAUGCCGCGUGUGUGAAGAAGGCCGUCGGGUUGUAAAGCACUUUCAGCGGGGAGGCGUUACCCGCAGAAGAAGCACCGGCUAACUCCGUGCCAGCAGCCGCGGUAAUUC